rfam:TPA: Bos taurus chromosome 8, whole genome shotgun sequence.
UCCCUGGUGGCUCAGAUGGUAAAGUGUCUGCGUGCAAUACAGGAGACCCAGGUUCGAUCCCUGGGUUGGGAA